rnacentral:snRNA from 1 species
AUUGUCAACCCAAUAAAUUUUUUAAAAAUUGGAAUGAUACAGAGAUUAGCAUGGCUGCUGUGCAAGGAUGACACGAAUUCGUGAAGCAUUCCAUAUUUUU